rnacentral:rRNA from 1 species
GAUGAACGCUAGCGGCAGGCCUAAUACAUGCAAGUCGGACGGGAUUCAGGAGCUUGCUUCUGAUGAGAGUGGCGCACGGGUGCGUAACACGUAUGUAACCUACCUUUAUCAGGGGGAUAGCCUCUCGAAAGAGAGAUUAAGCCCGCACAAAAUCACAGCACAGCAUUGUGUAAUGAUCAAAUAUUUAUAGGAUAAAGAUGGGCAUGCGGAACAUUAGCUAGAUGGCGCGGUAACGUCACACCAUGGCGACGAUGUUUAGGGGAUCUGAGAGGAUGGCCCCCCACACUGGUACUGAGACACGGACCAGACUCCUACGGAGGGCAGCAGUAAGGAAUAUUGGUCAAUGGGCGGAAGCCUGAACCAGCCAUGCCGCGUGCAGGAAGACGGCCCUACGGGUUGUAAACUGCUUUUAUACGGGAAUAAACCCAGAUACGUGUAUCUGGCUGAAUGUACUGUAAGAAUAAGGAUCGGCUAACUCCGUG